ensembl:lncRNA
CUCGGGGCGGGCGCUCGAUCUACCCUUGGAACUUUGAGUCCUAGGCUGGGCCCUGGGGGAUCUUAUUAAUAAUUCCCCGACCAAGGAACCCACUCCCUCUGCAGAAGAAGCGUGGAGUCUUAACCACUGGACUGCCAGGCAGAGUGAAAUUGUUAUGACCACCCAGCCCAGAAGAAUUGAUGCUUUUGAACUGUGGUGUUGGAGAAGACUUUUGAGAGUCCCUUGGGCUGCAAGGAGAUCAAACCAGUCCAUCCUAAAGAAAAUCAGUCCUGAAUACUCAUUGGAAGGACUGAUGCUGAAGUUGAAGCUCCAGUACUUUGACCACCUGAUGCAAAGAGCCGACUCAUUGGUAAAGACUUUGAUGCUGGGAAACAUUGAGGGUAGGAGGAGUAGGGGGCAGAAGAAGAUGAGAUAGCUGGAUGGCAUCACUGACUCAAUAGACAUGAGUUUGGGCAAACUCUGGGAGAUGGUGAAGAAUAGGGAAGCCUGGCAUGCUGCAGUUCAUGGGGUAGCAAAGAGUCAGAUAUGACUGAGCCACUGAACAACAACAACAACCCCAACCGAGACUUAUUCCUAACUGAUCUCUGGACUGUACAAAUGGUUGUCCUUCCAUUGAGGAGGUGGGGACAGGCAAUAUUUGAUGCUUAAAUACACUAAUAAGCUCUGAAAAACAUAAACACCUUUAAGAAAAUACACUGGGGUUAUGAGAGGAGAGAGUGCUGGGGGAAAGCAGAGUGAUGGCUAAUUGAGAAAGAUAGUCAGGGACAUGUUUGAAUAUUCUUCCUAGUGGAGGCGUGGAAGGGAGGUCUGUGUUUGUCACUGGAAAGCCCCUCAUCUGGCCUCUGCCAACCUGUUCUUCCUGGGCAGCUGGGGACCCUGGGAGUGCUUAGGAGUUUUCUGUUUUCUGACUGUGGCCGUGAUGACGAGACCUGGUAUCCCAGGUGUCAAGGCAGUGUCUCAGAGCAGUUGUUUUUUUUUUAAUUUAUUUGGCUGCAGUGGGUCUUAGUUGUGGCACAUGGGAUCUAGUACCCUGACAAGGAAUUGAACCGGGCCCCUGUAUUGGGAUCUUAGCCAAUGGACCACCAGAGAAUUGCCAAUAAUACUAAUUUAAAAAAAACCCUGGAUACUCACAACUGUGGUCUGAAUGUUUGUGUCUCCACCCCCUCACUCUGUAUUGAAAUUCUAACCACCACGGUGAUAAUAUUAGGAGGUACAGCCUUUGGAAGGGAAUGAGGUCAUGAGGGUGGGUCUCUUGUGAAUGGGAUUAGUGCCCUUAUAAAGAUACCCAAGACUCCCUGAUAUACACUAUUAUAAGGGGCAAAUGUGGGCAAGAGAUAGUUUGGAGUUAUCCACAGCCUUGGUUGCUAAAUGCAGCCUAUUGCCUGUUCCUGUACAGCCAGUGAGUUAAGAAUGGCCUUUUCAUUUUCAAAUGGCUGGAAAAAACAAUUCACAAUUUGAAAAUGAUCUACAAUUCAAAUUUCAGUGACCAAGGAGCUGGGGGGGAUAGAACAGACUUUGCUGAAGGGUAUAAACUUGGACUGAGUAGUAAAUAAAUCCUAGAAUUCCACAGAUGCACAGAAGAGUAAAUACAAGUUAAAAUGUUGUAUUAUAAUCAUCAGACUUGCUAAGAGACUAGCAACUUAACUAUUUCCACCACUAAAAAGAAAUGUUGAUUAUAUAACAUCUGGGCUUCCCUGGUGGCUCGGACGUUAAAGAAUCUGUCUGCAAUGCAGGAAACCCAGGUUUGAUCCCUGGAUUGGGAAGAUCCCCUGAAAAUGGGAAUGGCUAGCCACUCCAUUAUUCUUGCCUGGAGAAUUCCAAGGACAGAGGAGCCUAGUGGGCUACAGUCCAUGGGAUCACAAAGAGUUGGACAUGACUGAGAGACCAACACUUUCACAGAGGUGCUAAUUAUGGAUACAAUCGCAACCAUAUUACAAUAUAUGUCAGUUAUACUAUAUAAAUGUAUCAAAUGUUGGACACCUUAAAUUUAUACAAUGUUACAUGUCAAAUAUAUUUCAAUUAAAAAGUCCAUGGGACUUUCUUGGUGGUCCAUUUGCUAAGACUCUGUGCUCCCACGGCAGGGGGCCUGAGUUCAAUCCCUGGUCAGGGAACUAGGUCCCACAUGCCCCAACUAAGAGUUUAUAUGCUGUAACUAAGAGUUUGGAUGUAGCCACUAAAAAUACUGCAUACCACAACUAAAAGAGCCUUCAUGCUGCAAUGGAGAUGGAAAGCCCAGGUGCUGCAACUGAGACCUGGCACAGUCAAAUAAAUAAAAAAUAAAACAAUUAUCUGAAAAGUCAGAGUCCAUAAAUAAAGUUGUUUUUAAAAUUUAAUUUAUGUUUUGGCUUUGGUAGGCCUUCAUUGCUGUGCAUGGGCUUUCUCUAGUUGCAGCGAGCAGGGGCAUUGUGGUGGCUUCUCUCAUUAUAGAGCACAGGUUCUAGGUACCUCGGCUUCAUAGUUGUGGAGCUUGGGCUUAGUCGUUCAGUGGCUCGCGGCAGGGAUCGAACUGGCAGAGUCUUAAUCACUGGGCCACCACGGAAGUCCCAUAAAUAAAGUUUUAUUGACACACAGUUGUGCUCAUUUGUUUACCUAUUAUCCCGGGCUGCUUUUAUGCUACAAAGCAGAAUUGAGUCAUUGCAACAGAGACAGCCUGGCCCUUGAAGCAGAAAAUAUUUCCAGUCCAGCCCUUUCCAGAUCUUUGUAGACCCCUGCUCUAAAGGAGCCUGAGGUCUGAAUGUCAGCUGAUGCUGACUUGGGGCUUUUGGGGGUGUCUACUGGUUGGCACAGCAAAGAGGUCAGAAGGAGUCGGUGUUGGAGGGGCAUGGGGACGCGCAGAAGGUUCUGAUGAUUAACACUAGGGAGAGGGUGAUGGGGAUACCCCCCGGGGAGGGGACGUUCGUGUCUUCAAGGUGAUAUGGGGUUGAGCGCUGAGACUGGCAGGCUGAUGGAGGCACAGCAGGGUCACAGACAGGAAGCCUAGAUCUGCCUCGAGUAAUCCCCACCCCUGGCCACCCACCAGAGCUGACAGAUGAGACAGAAGCAUCCCAUGAACCACCACCACCCUGUCAUCUAACCAGUCAUGGGACCCUACCUCCUGUUUCUCCCUUUCCUCUGCUUUUCCCUGUCCCUCCCUGGUGCCAUCAUCUGUCACUGUCUGGGUCUGGAGAUGUGCCCCAACUUCAUACCUCAGUGUCCCUGACCCCUCAUCUCUUUUCUCAGUGUAGCCUGCACACUUAACUUUCCUAUCUUUCUUUCUUUUUUCUUCUUUCCUUUUAAAAAAAAUGGAGACAAAAUAUAUGAACAUAAAGUUAACCAUUUUAAAGUGUACAAGGCCCUGGCAUUUAGGAGAAACACAAGGUUGGGCAACCGUCACCAACUACCCAUCUGCAGGAAGCUUCCGUCACACCAAGAAACCCUGUACCUGUGAGCUGUCGCUCCCACCCCCUUCCUUUAGUCUCUGGCAACCAGUAAUCUGUUUUCUGUCUCUGUGGGUUUCCCUCUUCUGGACAUUUCAUAUCAAUGGAAUCGUACACCAGGUAGUCUUUCAUUAGCUUGGUGGGGUUUUUGUUUGUUUAUUUUGUUUUUGGCCAUGCUCAUGUCUUGUGGGAUCUUAGUUCUAUGAUCAAGGAUCGAACCCAGGCCCUCGGCAAUGAACAUGUGCAGAGUCCUAACAACUGGAACACCAGGGAAUUCCUGUUAGCUUGUUUUUGAAACUCAUUCACUUUGUAGCAGGUAUCUAAAGCUCAAUCCUUUUCUGAAUGAAUACUCCAUUGCAUGGAUGUACCACAAUUUUUUAAAUCCAUUCAUUUGUGGAGGGGCAUGUGGGUUACUUCCACCUUAACUUAUGACAUAAAUAUACCU